rnacentral:rRNA from 1 species
GACGAACGCUGGCGGCGUGCUUAACACAUGCAAGUCGAACGGGAGUAUCGAAGAAGCUUGCUUUUAAGAUACUUUAGUGGCGGACGGGUGAGUAACGCGUGAGGAGCUGUCCUAUGCAGGGGGACAACAGUUGGAAACGACUGCUAAUACCCCAAAAGCCGAGAGGUAAAAGGAUUUAUCCGGCAAAGGAGGUACUCGCGUCCUAUCAGCUAGUAGGUGAGGUAACGGCUCACCUAGGCGAAGACGGGUAGCCGGCCUGAGAGGGCGAACGGCCACACUGGAACGGAGAUACGGUCCAGACUCCUACGGGAGGCAGCAGUGGGGAAUAUUGGGCAAUGGGGGCAACCCUGACCCAGCGACGCCGCGUGGGUGAAGAAAUCCUUCGGGAUGUAAAGCCCUGUUGUAUGGGAAGAGCAGAAGACGGUACCAUACGAGGAAGCCCCGGCAAACUACGUGCCAGCAGCCGCAGUAAAAC